rnacentral:rRNA from 1 species
CUGGGAAACUGCCUGAUGGAGGGGGAUAACUACUGGAAACGGUAGCUAAUACCGCAUAACGUCGCAAGACCAAAGAGGGGGACCUUCGGGCCUCUUGCCAUCGGAUGUGCCCAGAUGGGAUUAGCUAGUAGGUGGGGUAACGGCUCACCUAGGCGACGAUCCCUAGCUGGUCUGAGAGGAUGACCAGCCACACUGGAACUGAGACACGGUCCAGACUCCUACGGGAGGCAGCAGUGGGGAAUAUUGCACAAUGGGCGCAAGCCUGAUGCAGCCAUGCCGCGUGUAUGAAGAAGGCCUUCGGGUUGUAAAGUACUUUCAGCGGGGAGGAAGGGAGUAAAGUUAAUACCUUUGCUCAUUGACGUUACCCGCAGAAGAAGCACCGGCUAACUCCGUGCCAGCAGCCGCGGUAAUACGGAGGGUGCAAGCGUUAAUCGGAAUUACUGGGCGUAAAGCGCACGCAGGCGGUUUGUUAAGUCAGAUGUGAAAUCCCCGGGCUCAACCUGGGAACUGCAUCUGAUACUGGCAAGCUUGAGUCUCGUAGAGGGGGGUAGAAUUCCAGGUGUAGCGGUGAAAU